AGAGUUUGAUCCUGGCUCAGAUUGAACGCUGGCGGCAUGCCUUACACAUGCAAGUCGAACGGCAGCACGGGGGCAACCCUGGUGGCGAGUGGCGAACGGGUGAGUAACAUAUCGGAACGUGCCCUGGAGUGGGGGAUAACUAGUCGAAAGAUUAGCUAAUACCGCAUACGAUCUACGGAUGAAAGUGGGGGAUCGCAAGACCUCAUGCUCGUGGAGCGGCCGAUAUCUGAUUAGCUAGUUGGUGGGGUAAAGGCCUACCAAGGCAUCGAUCAGUAGCUGGUCUGAGAGGACGACCAGCCACACUGGGACUGAGACACGGCCCAGACUCCUACGGGAGGCAGCAGUGGGGAAUUUUGGACAAUGGGCGCAAGCCUGAUCCAGCAAUGCCGCGUGAGUGAAGAAGGCCUUCGGGUUGUAAAGCUCUUUUGUCAGGGAAGAAACGGUGAGGGCUAAUAUCCCUUGCUAAUGACGGUACCUGAAGAAUAAGCACCGGCUAACUACGUGCCAGCAGCCGCGGUAAUACGUAGGGUGCAAGCGUUAAUCGGAAUUACUGGGCGUAAAGCGUGCGCAGGCGGUUGUGCAAGACCGAUGUGAAAUCCCCGGGCUUAACCUGGGAAUGGCAUUGGUGACUGCACGGCUAGAGUGUGUCAGAGGGGGGUAGAAUUCCACGUGUAGCAGUGAAAUGCGUAGAGAUGUGGAGGAAUACCGAUGGCGAAGGCAGCCCCCUGGGAUAACACUGACGCUCAUGCACGAAAGCGUGGGGAGCAAACAGGAUUAGAUACCCUGGUAGUCCACGCCCUAAGCGAUGUCAACUAGUUGUCGGGUCUUAAUUGACUUGGUAACGCAGCUAACGCGUGAAGUUGACCGCCUGGGGAGUACGGUCGCAAGAUUAAAACUCAAAGGAAUUGACGGGGACCCGCACAAGCGGUGGAUGAUGUGGAUUAAUUCGAUGCAACGCGAAAAACCUUACCUACCCUUGACAUGGCAGGAAUCCCGGAGAGAUUCGGGAGUGCUCGAAAGAGAACCUGCACACAGGUGCUGCAUGGCUGUCGUCAGCUCGUGUCGUGAGAUGUUGGGUUAAGUCCCGCAACGAGCGCAACCCUUGUCAUUAGUUGCUACGAAAGGGCACUCUAAUGAGACUGCCGGUGACAAACCGGAGGAAGGUGGGGAUGACGUCAAGUCCUCAUGGCCCUUAUGGGUAGGGCUUCACACGUCAUACAAUGGUACAUACAGAGGGCCGCCAACCCGCGAGGGGGAGCUAAUCCCAGAAAGUGUACCGUAGUCCGGAUUGCAGUCUGCAACUCGACUGCAUGAAGUUGGAAUCGCUAGUAAUCGCGGAUCAGCAUGUCGCGGUGAAUACGUUCUCGGGUCUUGUACACACCGCCCGUCACACCAUGGGAGCGGGUUUUACCAGAAGUAGGUAGCUUAACCGCAAGGAGGGCGCUUACCACGGUAGGAUUCGUGACUGGGGUGAAGUCGUAACAAGGUAACC
rnacentral:rRNA from 1 species